CGGGUGAGUAACGCGUGGGUAACCUGCCUCAUACAGGGGGAUAACAGUUAGAAAUGACUGCUAAUACCGCAUAAGACCACAGCACCGCAUGGUGCGGGGGUAAAAACUCCGGUGGUAUGAGAUGGACCCGCGUCUGAUUAGCUGGUUGGUAAGGUAACGGCUUACCAAGGCGACGAUCAGUAGCCGACCUGAGAGGGUGACCGGCCACAUUGGGACUGAGACACGGCCCAAACUCCUACGGGAGGCAGCAGUGGGGAAUAUUGCACAAUGGGGGAAACCCUGAUGCAGCGACGCCGCGUGAGCGAAGAAGUAUUUCGGUAUGUAAAGCUCUAUCAGCAGGGAAGAAAAUGACGGUACCUGACUAAGAAGCACCGGCUAAAUACGUGCCAGCAGCCGCGGUAAUACGUAUGGUGCAAGCGUUAUCCGGAUUUACUGGGUGUAAAGGGAGCGUAGACGGAUGGGCAAGUCUGAUGUGAAACCCGGGGCUCAACCCCGGGACUGCAUUGGAAACUGUUCAUCUAGAGUGCUGGAGAGGUAAGUGGAAUUCCUAGUGUAGCGGUGAAAUGCGUAGAUAUUAGGAGGAACACCAGUGGCGAAGGCGGC
rnacentral:rRNA from 1 species